CACGUAGGGCGCAAGCGUUGCCCGGAAUUAUUGGGCGUAAAGAGCUCGUAGGCGGUCUGUUGCGUCCGCUGUGAAAACUCGGGGCUUAACCCCGAGCCUGCAGUGGAUACGGGCAGACUAGAGGUAGGUAGGGGAGAAUGGAAUUCCCGGUGUAGCGGUGAAAUGCGCAGAUAUCGGGAGGAACACCGGUGGCGAAGGCGGUUCUCUGGGCCUUACCUGACGCUGAGGAGCGAAAGCGUGGGGAGCGAACAGG
rnacentral:rRNA from 1 species